rnacentral:misc_RNA from 1 species
AACUGCCAAACUCUCCACCAUAUUCCUACUAACUGCCCCCUGCAUUGUUGUAAAUGGCACCACCGUCCCCAACUCAAUCCCAGACGGCGGAUUUACGGUGGUUCCUACCUUAGGAGCCAAGCUAGCAGCGGCAUCAGCGGCGGGGGGAGGCAGCCCCACUUAGCCACAAUUCUACCCAUAGGUCCACUACCCACUACUCUCUCCAGCUCCACCUUUAACUCCUUGGCAAGCUUCUUCGCAUAAGGCGAAGCCACUACUCUUUUCCCUCCCUCUGAUGCCGGGUGCACAGCAGAUCCCACAAUUGCUGCCGCCUUUGAAAUUGCAGGUCCCGCAGGCUCCGCAAUUUUCUCAGUCUGCGACGGUUCCGGUCCGGAGCACUACUACUAGUAGAUGCUGGCUGAGCAGCUGAUGAUGACGACGACGAGGCUUUGGACCUGGCCUCCGCAAUUUCCUCCUCAGUCUCAGCCAAUAAAGCAAUAGCAGAACCCACGGCAGCAACUCCGCCUUCUUCAACCAUAAUAGCAGCCAAGUAACCAUCAUAGAAAGUCUCAACAUCCAUGUCAGCCUUAUCAGACUCAACAACAACAACACUUUCACCCUUAGAAAGCUUAUCUCCCUCUGAUUUCACCCAAGAAACAAUCUUUCCCUCAGUCAUGGUGGAGCUCAAUGCCGGCAUGAAGAUCUCUCGGAUCUUGGCCUCCACCUGGGUUGUCCUGGAACGGUGAGUGGAAAUGUGUACGGAGGGAGAGCGAACAGUGGAUGCCCGGGGAAGAGAGGAUGGAAGGAAGGUGGUCUUGAGAAGCUGAGCCAUCUGGGAAUUGGAAGCAGCAAUGAGAGAGAGAGAGACAGAGAGGUUGUUACUUGAAAGUUGAAGGAGAGACAGGUGAUGGGAUUUAAGGGGGUUUUGUGUUUUGAUUAGCAGAGAAAUCUUGGAAACAUCGAAAGAGGGCGGAGGUCUCAACCACCUUACCUGUGCG